rnacentral:rRNA from 1 species
AGUGAACGCUGGCGAUAGGCCUAACACAUGCAAGUCGAACGGCAGCACAGUAAGAGCUUGCUCUUACGGGUGGCGAGUGGCGGACGGGUGAGGAAUACAUCGGAAUCUACUUUUUCGUGGGGGAUAACGUAGGGAAACUUACGCUAAUACCGCAUACGACCUACGGGUGAAAGCAGGGGAUCUUCGGACCUUGCGCGAUUGAAUGAGCCGAUGUCGGAUUAGCUAGUUGGCGGGGUAAAGGCCCACCAAGGCGACGAUCCGUAGCUGGUCUGAGAGGAUGAUCAGCCACACUGGAACUGAGACACGGUCCAGACUCCUACGGGAGGCAGCAGUGGGGAAUAUUGGACAAUGGGCGCAAGCCUGAUCCAGCCAUACCGCGUGGGUGAAGAAGGCCUUCGGGUUGUAAAGCCCUUUUGUUGGGAAAGAAAAGCAGCAGGUUAAUACCCCGCUGUUCGGACGGGACCCAAAGAAUAAGCACCGGCUAACUUCGU